rnacentral:rRNA from 1 species
GAUGAACGCUGGCGGCGUGCCUAAUACAUGCAAAUCGAACGAAACUUCUUUAUCACCGAGUGCUUGCACUCACCGAUAAAGAGUUGAGUGGCGAACGGGUGAGUAACACGUGGGCAACCUGCCCAAAAGAGGGGGAUAACACUUGGAAACAGGUGCUAAUACCGCAUAACCAUAGUUACCGCAUGGUAACUAUGUAAAAGGUGGCUAUACUACCGCUUUUGGAUGGGCCCGCGGCGCAUUAGCUAGUUGGUAGGGUAAAGGCUUACCAAGGCAAUGAUGCGUAGCCGAAGUGAGAGGUUGAUCGGCCACAUUGGGACUGAGACACGGCCCAAACUCCUACGGGAGGCAGCAGUAGGGAAUCUUCCACAAUGGGCGAAAGCCUGAUGGAGCAACGCCGCGUGGGUGAAGAAGGUCUUCGGAUCGUAAAACCCUGUUGUUAGAGAAGAAAGUGCGUGAGAGUAACUGUUCACGUUUCGACGGUAUCUAACCAGAAAGCCACGGCUAACUACGUG